rnacentral:rRNA from 1 species
UCCGUAGGUGAACCUGCGGAAGGAUCAUUAUCGUGCCAGAGGCUGCUAUCUCACGAUAGCCAGUCUUUGUUACCCUUAUCCACUGUUUUUGGCGUCUUGUUGUUGUUUCCUUAGCAGGCUCGCCUGCUAUAGAAAUCCAUUCAUAACCUCUUUGCAGUUGCAUUCAACGUCUAAUCAAAUAAUAAUUACAACUUUCAACAAUGGAUCUCUUGGUUCUGGCAUCGAUGAAGAACGCAGCGAAAUGCGAUAAGUAGUGUGAAUUGCAGAAUUCAGUGAAUCAUCGAAUCUUUGAACGCACAUUGCGCCCCUUGGUAUUCCAGGGGGCAUGCCUGUUCGAGCGUCAUUUGUACUCUCAAGCUAUGCUUGGUGUUGGGUGUUUGUCUAAACCCUGUGUUUAGACUCGCCUUAAAGCAAUUGGCAGCCGGUGUUUUGGUAGUAGAGCGCAGCACGUUUUGUACUCUAGUUCCUCAACUAUGGCGUCCAUAAGCAUACAUUUCAAGCUUGACCUCGGAUCAGGUAGGGAUACCCGCUGAACUUAAGCAUAUCAAUAAGCGGAGGGAAGUCGGACUGGCCAAGGGGCACACCAGGGGGGGGGGAUA